CGUUGUUUCGAAUUCAAAGUGGUAGUGAAAAUACGUUUUCCCUUAAAUAAAUUAAUGUUUUAUUGUAAUCUCAUCGGAUACCGCUUGUUUGCAAACGAAUGGCGACAGAUUCUGUCUGCCGAAAUAUGUAUUACUUAAUCCAAAUUGUGCUAACUAUCCUACACUUUCACACAACUAGUCGCUGAAAUAGCUAUAAACUUUAAAUCCAAGCAUGCAUACAAAUUAAUCGGAUAAUAAACACAGAAGUUAUUCAAGAAUGCAUUUUUUAUAAAGUGGAAGUGAGAG